rnacentral:rRNA from 1 species
UACGUAGGGUGCAAGCGUUAUCCGGAAUUAUUGGGCGUAAAGAGCUCGUAGGCGGUUUGUCGCGUCUGCUGUGAAAACUGGGGGGCUCAACCCCCAGCCUGCAGUGGGUACGGGCAGACUAGAGUUCGGUAGGGGAGACUGGAAUUCCUGGUGUAGCGGUGAAAUGCGCAGAUAUCAGGAGGAACACCGAUGGGCGAAGGCAGGUCUCUGGGCCGAUACUGACGGCUGAGGCACGAAAGCGUGGGGAGCAAACAGG